CACCGCGGUUAUACGAGAGGCCCAAGUUGAUAGCCACCGGCGUAAAGCGUGGUUUAGGUAAAAUAACUUAAUAAAGCCGAAGGCCCUCAAAGCAGUCAUACGCAUUCGAGAGGCAGAAGCACAAUAACGAAAGUGGCUUUAAACUACUUGACCCCACGAGAGCUAUGGCA
rnacentral:rRNA from 1 species